GGAGAUUUGGGGGCAUUGGAAUGAAGGGUUUGGGAAUUUAGGAUGGGAGAUUUGAGAUGAAGGAUUUGGGAAUUUGGUAUAAAAGAUUUGGGGGAUUUGGGAUGAAGGAUUUGGGAUCUUUGGAUCAAGGAUUUGGGGAUUUUGGACCAAGGAUUUGGGGAUUUGGGAUGGGGAAUCUGGGAUAAAAGAUUUGGGGAUUUGGGAUGAAGGAUUUAGGAAUUUUGGAUCAAAGAUUUGCAAAUUUGGAUUGAAGGAUUUGGGAUUUGGGAAUUUGGGAUGAAGGAUUUGGGGGAUUUGGGAUGAAGGGUUUGGGAUUUUUGGAUCAAGGAUUUUGGGAUUUUGGAGGAAGGGUUUGGGGAUUUUUGGGAUAGGGAAUUUGGGAUAAAAGAUUUGGGGAUUUUGGACCAAGGAUUUGGGGAUUUGGGAUGAGGGAUUUGGGAAUUUGGAGUGAAGGAUUUGGGGAUUGGGAUGAAGGGUUUGGGAAAUUUUGGAUCAAAGAUUUGGGAAUUUGGAGUGAAGGAUUUGGGAUGGGGGAUUUGGGAAUUUGGGAUGAAGCAUUUGGGGGAUUUGGGAUUUGGGAUUUUUCGAUCAAGGAUUUUGGGAUUUUGGAGGAAGGGCUUGGGAAUUUGGGAUCAAAGAUUUGGGAACUUGAAGGAUUUGGGGAUUUUUGGGAUGAAGGAUUUGGGAAUUUUGGGAUGAAGGAUUUGGAAUUCAGGAUGAAUUUUGGGGUGAAUUUUGGGGUGAAGGAUUUGGGCUUUGGGAUGCAGGAUUUUGAGUUUGGGGUGACGGAUCUGGAAUUUGGGGUGAAUGAUUUGGAUUUUGGGAUGAAUUUUGGGGUGAAGGAUUUGGAAUUUGGGGUGAAAUUUGGG
rnacentral:lncRNA from 1 species